CACGUAGGGAGCAAGCGUUGUCCGGAUUUAUUGGGCGUAAAGAGCUCGUAGGCUGUUCGAUAAGUCGGGUGUGAAACCUCCAGGCUCAACCUGGAGACGCCACCCGAUACUGUCAUGACUAGAGUCCGGUAGGGGAGCGUGGAAUUCCUGGUGUAGCGGUGAAAUGCGCAGAUAUCAGGAGGAACACCAGCGGCGAAGGCGGCGCUCUGGGCCGGUACUGACGCUGAGGAGCGAAAAGCCCAGGGGGAGCAAAACGGGG
rnacentral:rRNA from 1 species